GGUCCGUUGUUUUGCUUCAGAUAACAAAAGCUAUACUGCUAUCCUAUAAAAUUUGUUCACCCGCCUGACUCUAUUGGAUGGAUGCGUGAGAAUACCAGCUAAUCUGUCAGUGUUUCUUGCUUUUAUUCCCUCCUCCUUUUUAUUACGCUCUUCCACAAGAAAGAAGAACUCUUUUGACCCCUGCCUCUAGAAUAACUUGUCAUUCACAUCAACAUAAGCUCUCGGUAUGAGAUGUUAGAAUUCGAGUGGCUAAAACCUUGCUCAGUGGGAGUAGUUUGGAUGGGUAACAUGGAGUGCUUUCAUGACAAUUGUUGAUGAAAGAGAAGGAGAUAUUAUUUCUUCUUUCUUAAUCAAAAGUGUGUACAAAGACCUAUAAAUACAAAUAUGUAGAUCCAAAUACAGAUAGGGAAUAACAAGAAUAUGCCAAAGAAUAACCAAGAAUAUGCUAUGGAAUAAAUCCCUGGUCCUUUAAUUAGAUAUUUUUUCCAAUUAAGCUUAAUCCUUCCAAUACUCCCCCUCAAG
rnacentral:lncRNA from 1 species